UACAGAGGUCCCAAGCGUUGUUCGGAUUCAUUGGGCGUAAAGGGUGCGUAGGCGGGCAGGUAAGUCAGUGGUGAAAUCUCCGGGCUUAACCCGGAAACUGCCGUUGAUACUAUCUGUCUUGAAUAUUGUGGAGGUAAGCGGAAUAUGUCAUGUAGCGGUGAAAUGCUUAGAUAUGACAUAGAACACCAAUUGCGAAGGCAGCUUACUACACAGUUAUUGACGCUGAGGCACGAAAGCGUGGGGAUCAAACAGG
rnacentral:rRNA from 1 species